rnacentral:rRNA from 1 species
UACGUAGGGUGCAAGCGUUAAUCGGAAUUACUGGGCGUAAAGCGUGCGCAGGCGGUUAUGCAAGACAGAUGUGAAAUCCCCGGGCUCAACCUGGGAACUGCAUUUGUGACUGCAUGGCUGGAGUGCGGCAGAGGGGGAUGGAAUUCCGCGUGUAGCAGUGAAAUGCGUAGAUAUGCGGAGGAACACCGAUGGCGAAGGCAAUCCCCUGGGCCUGCACUGACGCUCAUGCACGAAGCGUGGGGAGCAAACAGG